rnacentral:rRNA from 1 species
UGAGUUUGCUCCUGGCUCAGGAUGAACGCUAGCGGCAGGCUUAACACAUGCAAGUCGAGGGGCAGCACAAGGAGCAAUCUGAGGUGGCGACCGGCGCACGGGUGAGUAACACGUAUGCAACCUGCCUCAAACAGAGGGAUAACCCGGAGAAAUUCGGACUAAUACGUCAUAAAACAGGGGUACCGCAUGGUAAUAUUGUUAAAGAAGGAAUUCGGUUUGAGAUGGGCAUGCGUUUCAUUAGCUAGUUGGUAAGGUAACGGCUUACCAAGGCGACGAUGAAUAGGGGUUCUGAGAGGAAGAUCCCCCACACUGGUACUGAGACACGGACCAGACUCCUACGGGAGGCAGCAGUGAGGAAUAUUGGUCAAUGGACGAGAGCCUGAACCAGCCAUGCCGCGUGCAGGAUUACAGCCCUAUGGGUUUUAAACUGCUUUUGUACGAGGGUAAAAGGCGGCACGUGUGCCGCAUUGAAAGUAUUGUACGAAUAAGGAUCGGCUAACUCCGUGCCAGCAGCCGCGGUAAUACGGAGGAUUCGAGCGUUAUCCGGAUUCAUUGGGUUUAAAGGGUGCGUAGGUUGUAUAUUAAGUCAGCGGUGAAAAGGAGAUGCUUAACAUUUCCCGUGCCGUUGAAACUGAUAAACUUGAAUGCUGAUGAAGUAUGUGGAAUGCGCAGUGUAGCGGUGAAAUGCAUAGAUAUUGCGCAGAAGGUCGAUUGCGAAGGCAACGUACUAAUCAGCUAUUGACACUGAGGCACGAAAGCGUGGGGAUCAAACAGGAUUAGGUACCCUGGUAGUCCACGCUGUAAACGAUGAUAACUCGCUGUCGGCGAUAUACAGUCGGUGGUCAAGCGAAAGCGAUAAGUUAUCCACCUGGGGAGUACGACCGCAAGGUUGAAACUCAAAGGAAUUGACGGGGGCCCGCACAAGCGGAGGAACAUGUGGUUUAAUUCGAUGAUACGCGAGGAACCUUACCCGGGCUCGAACGGCAUUUGAAUAUGUAUGAAAGUAUGUAGCUAGCAAUAGCAAAUGUCGAGGUGCUGCAUGGUUGUCGUCAGCUCGUGCCGUGAGGUGUCGGCUUAAGUGCCAUAACGAGCGCAACCCUGACUGUCAGUUGCUAACAGGUAAAGCUGAGGACUCUGGCGGGACUGCCGGCGUAAGCUGUGAGGAAGGUUGGGAUGACGUCAAAUCAGCACGGCCCUUACAUCCGGGGCGACACACGUGUUACAAUGGGGGGGACAAAGGGCAGCUACCCGGCGACGGGAUGCGAAUCUCUAAACCCUCUCUCAGUUCGGAUCGGAGUCUGCAACUCGACUCCGUGAAGCUGGAUUCGCUAGUAAUCGCGCAUCAGCCAUGGCGCGGUGAAUACGUUCCCGGGCCUUGUACACACCGCCCGUCAAGCCAUGGGAGCCGGGGGGACCUGAAGUCCGUAACCGCAAGGAGCGGCCUAGGGUAAAACCGGUGACUGGGGCUAAGUCGUAACAAGGUAGCC